CGGCGGCCAUGGAGCGGCGCGGGGGCCGGCCGCAGGACUCUGGAGAUAGUGUUUCUGAGCUACGGGAAUGGAGACCAGCCAUUUACAGAAAGUGUACGGACACUCUCUGGCUGCUCCUCUUCUGUCUUUUCUGGGCUGGUUUGGACUUCUAUCCUUCUUCUCCUGUGUUAUUCUGCUUAAUUUAUAUACUUUCAACAAUAGAUGAAGGAAAGCUCCAAGGAAGCAAUAGGGCUGAACUUGCCCAUGUGACUUGCUCUGACCUUGUGCAGAUGUUUAUAAGUGGCUAUGCUGUGGUGGCUGGUGCUGCAGAAAGACUUGUGCUUGGAUAUGACAGCUUUGGGAACAUAUGUGGUCGGAAGAACACUCCUGUAGAAGGGGCAAAUCUUUCUGGAUUAGACAUGACUAAUAAAAAGUAUGUGUUCUUUCUGAAUUCAUGCAGCCUGGAAAUACAAAGCCUCAAAAGCAGUUCACUUUCCUUGUGCGUGGCAAGUUGUCCACAACAGCAACUGGACUCUUUGGAAGAUCUACAGAGUUUUGCAAGGAAUAAUGGUUCUUCCCUUUGCAUUUACAACCUGAAUGUUUCCAGUUACACACUAAAUCCAAAGGCAACUCAGCUGUGUCCCACACUGCCAGUUCCACCAAGUAAAUCCUUUCCAUUAUUUAAUCGCUGUGUUCCACAAAAUCCUGAAUGCUAUUCCAAAUAUGCAUCUGUCCUAAUAAGUAUGGUUAAUGAAAUGGAUGUUUUUCAUCGGAUUCUGAGUGGAAUAUUGGCAGGAAGAGAUACUGUGAUAGGACUGAGUGUCCUUGCACUAGCUCUCUCUUUGAUACUGGUUUUAGCCUUCAGAUUCAUUCAGACCCUCUUCAUCCAUACUCUGAUUGCACUGGUUGUAUUUGGGUUGUUGUUUGGCUCAGGUGUUCUCUGGUGGCUCCAUUACGACUACAGGAAUGACCCCAGCACUGAACUGGAAACAGAAAAGGAAAAUGUAAAGUUCCUACUUGGAUAUGCCAUCUUCUCAACAAUUGUCACUGUUGUUCUGCUGUCCCUUAUAUUUGUACUAAGAAAGAGGCUUCCGUUCUCUGUACAGCUCUUUCGAAUUGUUGGCAAAAUCAUUGGCAGAAUUCCUUUCCUCCUGUUCCAACCACUCUGGACUUUUCUGAUUCUCAUUGUGUUCUGGGUAUUUUGGGUUGCUGUACUGCUUAGCUUAGGAACUGCAGGUACUGCACAGUCCACUUCGGGAGGACAAGUAGAAUACAGAGCUCUGUCUGGAAUUUGCUACAUGGCAUGGUAUCAUUUCCUUGGCCUUAUCUGGACUAGUGAAUUCAUUCUUGCCUGUCAGCAAAUGGUGAUUGCUGGGGCAGUGGUUACUUGUUAUUUCAACAGAAAUAAAAAUAACCCACCACCUCACCCAGUCCUGUCUUCCAUAUCAGUUCUUUUCUGCUACCACCUAGGAACUGCUGUGAAAGGCUCAUUUCUAAUCACAAUACUGAGAAUACCAAAGAUUGUUCUCUUGUACCUUUACAAUAUCCUAAACCAAAAGAGGAAUGCAAAGCACCAGUUCAACUGCUGUUUCUGCUGGGUUUGCUUAAGAUACUUUAACCAGCAUGCAUACACAACUACAGCCAUAAAUGGGACAGAUUUUUGUACAUCAGCAAAGGAUGCUGUCAGUAUUUUGGCAAGGAAUUCUGCUAAAUUUGCAUCCAUUAGCUGCUUUGGAGAUUUUCUCCUAUUUUUAGGAAAGGUGUUUGUUGUAUGCUUCACUGUUUUUGGAGGAUUGAUGGCAUUUAACUACCACCGGGACUUGCAAGCUUGGGUAGUUCCUCUGUUGCUGGUUGGAUUUUUUGCCUACCUGAUGUCCCACAGCUUUCUGUCUGUGUUUGAAGUGACAGCAGAUGCCAUGUUCCUUUGCUUUGCUAUUGAUAUGGAAACAAAUGAUGGAACUGCAGAGAAGCCAUACUUUGUGGAUCAGGAGCUGCUGCCAUGCCCUAGAGCUGUGGGUGAAGAGAGGAUUUCCCACAGGGACAAGGAGUCUUCCAAGCAGGACAGGCUCUAUACCCUUCUAUGGAAAAACUGUGGGCAGCACAUCCAAACUCCUCCUCAUUGUAUGAUCAAGAGUAAGUUUGCUAACACAGACAAGAAUUUGGAGUUUCCCAACACAUGAAGGCAUUUAACUUGUCUGUGUUACAAUCAGGUUGCAAACAUCCCGGGGGUGGAAGGGAGGCUCUGUGGCCCUCAGGACAAUAUGCAGCAGUGGGUGGAGAGCAGGGGGAGGGAUUUCAUACAGCUGGAAACCUCAUUCCUGCAGUAGGAGAUGUAACAGAGUUUUUUGAUUCAUCUUUCUCAGUUGCAUUCAUCACUUUUACUGCCUCUGCAGUCCCUCACAGUGUCACUCAGUGUCAUCCAGCCAGGAACCAGCUACAGUUUCUUAGCCCUGGGCUAAUUAUCUUCCUUCACCAGGUAUUUUUAUUAGCAUAAUGGUUUCCUUUCACAAACGAUCUCACCCUGGUUUUUGCUUGUAGACCUUUGUGAGUCAGAGUAACAAGUUAACAGAAGGGCGAAAACACAGAAACACAAGACCAUUCCAGGAUAAUGAAGAUGGGACAGAGCUCCAGCCUAUGACUUGAAUGUGAAGUACACCAGGAGGUGUGGAAGCAGAGAGCAACAGCAAAAAUGGUCAUAUCAGUAAAGGUUACCAAUAGCCCAGGACAAAGUAUUGGCUCCCUAAAUCUGUUCUAUCUUCUGCACUGGUAAAAUGACACACAAUAUGUUUGUAUGAAUAAAAUAUUUUGUGUGUCAUUGCAUCUGAUUUUUUAUUACUACAUUUGCUAUGAUGGUCUGAAAGUUGACAAUAAACUCACUCUUUAUAAAUUU